UUAAAAUUAGCUUAUUUAGCCUAAUAAGCUAUAUUUUAUCCAAACACUUAAAUUAGCUUAUAUUAAAAUUAGCUUAUUUAGCCUAAUAAGCUAGAUUUUAUCCAAACACUUAAAUUAGCUUAUUGUGGGAAUAUCUGCAAUCGACAUCACCAUCACCGCUUUAGCAUCACCACCGGUCGACCUUGCUGUCACCGCUAAACCUUUUCUUCUUCAAUCUUUUCGUCUUCAAUUUCAUCUACAAUCGACAUCACCAUCACCGCUUUAGCAUCACCACCGCUCCCACCUUUUCUUCUUCAACCUUUUUGUCUUCAAUUUCAUCUGCAAUCGACAUCACCAUCACCGCUUUAGCAUCACCACCGGUCGACCUUGCUGUCACCGCUAAACCUUUUCUUCUUCAAUCUUUUCGUCUUCAAUUUCAUCUACAAUCGACAUCACCAUCACCGCUUUAGCAUCACCACCGGUCGACCAUACUGUCACCGCUAAACCAACCUUGCAAUGAGUUUUCGAUUUCUACUUCCUCAGUCGCAUAUCUCCUCCUCGAUUUCUUCUCUGCUGCUGCUCGAUUUCAUCUGCAAAAUUGAAGAACUUGGAUUCCUUAUGCCUACAGAGAUACAAAGAUAAGCUCUACCAAUUCUAUUCUCUGGCCAAGAUUGCAUUCUCCAUGCCCAGACAGGUUCAGGGAAAACUUUGGCAUACUUGUUAUAGAUUUUUUCAGUAAUAAACACAUAAACAUCAGCUCUACAAGCAUUGAUUGUGGUUCCAACUAGGGAAUUGGGCAUCUUUUUCCUCCUUCCGAGUCAUCUUUUUCCUAUUUUGCCCUUUAUAUUGCUUUGGUGUUGAUGGUGCUGUCAAAACACAAUGACUUUCCUUUGGUUCCAUUAUUUAGUCAUCACCUGGAAAUACAGGUUGUUGCAACAAGUUGUAUUGUAGGACUAAACAAUCGGACGAUAUCAAUGUUAACGUGGGAUUGUGAGGAAAAGGCAAGGCUGUGGUUGUAAGCAUUGAUCCUUGUAGACAAUAUUUGACAAAUAAAGAUGAGGUUGGAUUCAAGGCUAUUAAACUAGAAAACCUGGGCCCAAAUGAUGAAGACUAUGCCUUGUAUCAGUGCAAUGUAAGUGUUGUAAAUAGCAACGUAUUUUUCAGUUUGACCAAAUUUUUUAUUUUGUUGUAUAGAUGAUGCUUAUUGUAAUAUUUAUUUUUGGAAAAUGAUGUUUUUGUAAUGUGUUAAGCACUUAGUAAUGUAUUUGACAUUUUGUAGUUUAAUGUAAUGAAUUUUUAUUUCA